GUCUUAGCUUCCCCUGUUCUUUGUGUAGUCACAGGAACUCAGAGCAAAGGUCAUCAAACAGAGAAGCAGAAUGGGGGAGGAAGACAGGCAGAUACCACAUAAGUCUGAGGCCAUGGGUGUUUCACAGCAUUCCUGUGUCCUUUAUUGCCUGAUAAGUUAGUCCCUAUUUCUCCAAGGACUUUAUUGGGGGUCUCUUCCAUCUACCCAAUGCCAUCCUGCAAGGAGUAAGAUCAGAGCCUCAGUAUCAGCAGGCAGGGUUUGGGAUCAGCGGUACCUGUGUUAGUCUAACUUGAAAUCCGUUCGCUAUGAAGAAAUACCUGAGACUAAGUAAUUUAUAAAGAAAAGGAGGUUUCAUAGACUCACAGUUCCACAUGGCUGGCGAGGCCUCACAAUCAUGGCAGAAGGUGAAGGAGUCAAGGCAUGUCUUACAUGGCAACAGGCAAGAGGAUGUGUGCAGGGGAACAACUGCCCUUUAUAAAACCAUCAGAUCUCAUGAGACUUUUAUUCACUGUCAUGAGAACAGCACAGGAAAGACCUGCCCCCAUGAUUCAAUUACCUCUCACUGGUUUCCUCCCACCACACACUGGGGUUAUGGGAGCUACAGUUCAAGAUGACAUCUGGGUGGGGACACAGACAAACCAUCUCAGUACUCUUUAACAGGAUCUCUGGGAAACUGAGGGGGUCCCCAGGUACACAAAGCCCCAUAUGGACUCUUCACUGAACUCCCACCAUAGAAUAUACGUGCCCUAGCCUGUUGACCAAGAAAUUUGACAAAUUUGCAUUUCUGAACAAAAAGAGGAGUGUUAAUGCAUAUUUAGUAGCAUACUUCCUGAUUUUGUUUUUAGUUUGAGGCUUAACCUCAAAGAAACAGAAUUAAUAGAAGAAGGAAAUGAUCCUGGGAGAUCCUCAAUGCAGUAAUGAAUUCAACAUUCUUCAAUCAAAUUUAAAAUUUAAUUAUAGCCUACUUACCUGUGGUGACCCUGGAUUCUGUACAACUGAUUUGUUGAUACAGAAGAGAGUCAUGCAAACUACAGAAAUCCACCCAAAACCGAGAGAAGGAGAGUAUCUGUUUUCAGAGAAGCUGUCUGCUUUGGGAGGAAGUUCCAGAAGUGAGCCUCAGGAAUUACAACAUUAAUUGAGAAACUGAAUGAUUAAAAUUGUAGUAACAAAUAGCUUUCCUUGGAACUGUCCCAGAAUCUAUUAUUUUUUUUCCCUUUUCUGUCAUUAACAAAAACACCAACAAAAAACAUCAUGUGUGAAAGAGGUACUAUAAUAAAAACCCUAGCAGUGUCUACUGCGUG
rnacentral:lncRNA from 1 species